rnacentral:rRNA from 1 species
AGAGUUUGAUCCUGGCUCAGGACGAACGCUGGCGGCGUGCCUAAUACAUGCAAGUCGAGCGGACUGAGAGGUGCUUGCACCUCGAUGUUAGCGGCGGACGGGUGAGUAACACGUGGGUAACCUGCCGGACAGACCGGGAUAACGCUUGGAAACGAGUGCUAAUACCGGAUAGGCUUCUGAGUCGCAUGACUUAGAAGGGAAAGGAGCUAUCGCUCCGCUGUUCGAUGGACCCGCGGCGCAUUAGCUAGUUGGUGAGGUAACGGCUCACCAAGGCGACGAUGCGUAGCCGACCUGAGAGGGUGACCGGCCACACUGGGACUGAGACACGGCCCAGACUCCUACGGGAGGCAGCAGUAGGGAAUCUUCCGCAAUGGGCGAAAGCCUGACGGAGCAACGCCGCGUGAGUGAUGAAGGCCUUCGGGUUGUAAAACUCUGUCUUCUGUGAAGAACAAGCCUGUGAGUGGAAAGCUCAGGCCUUGACGGUAACAGAGGAGGAAGCCCCGGCUAACUACGUGCCAGCAGCCGCGGUA